UGGGGAAUUUUGGACAAUGGACGCAAGUCUGAUCCAGCCAUGCCGCGUGCGGGAAGAAGGCCUUCGGGUUGUAAACCGCUUUUGUCAGGGAAGAAACGAGUUUCUCCAAUACAGCGACUUAAUGACGGUACCUGAAGAAUAAGCACCGGCUAACUACGAGCCAGCAGCCGCGGUAACACGUAGGGUGCAAGCGUUAAUCGGAAUUACUUGGCGUAAAGCGUGCGCAGGCGGUUAUGUAAGACAGGGGUGAAAUCCCCGGGCUCAACCCAGGAGCUGCCUUAAUGACUGCAUAGCUAGAGUACGGUAGAGGGGGAUGGAAUUCCGCGUGUAGCAGUGAAAUGCGUAGAUAUGCGGAGGAACACCGAUGGCGAAGGCAAUUACCUGGACCUGUACUGACGCUGAGGCACGAAAGCGUGGGGAGCAAACG
rnacentral:rRNA from 1 species